UACGGGGGGUGCAAGCGUUAAUCGGAAUUACUGGGCGUAAAGGGUGCGUAGGUGGUUUGGUAAGUUAUCUGUGAAAUCCCCGGGCUCAACCUGGGCAGGUCAGAUAAUACUGCUGGACUCGAGUAUGGGAGAGGGUAGUGGAAUUUCCGGUGUAGCGGUGAAAUGCGUAGAGAUCGGAAGGAACACCAGUGGCGAAGGCGGCUACCUGGCCCAAUACUGACACUGAGGCACGAAAGCGUGGGGAGCAAACAGG
rnacentral:rRNA from 1 species